ACAACUAGGACGUUGGCUUAGAAGCAGCCACUCAUUUAAAGAGUGCGUAAUAGCUCACUAGUCGAGAGAUCCUGCGCCGAAAAUGUCCGGGGCUCAAACUUACCACCGAAGCUACGGGCUUGCGUAAGCAAGCGGUAGGGGAGCGUCGUAAUCGGGCUGAAGUCGUACCGUAAGGAGCGGUGGACUGAUUACGAGUGAGAAUGUUGGCAUUAGUAGCGAGAUGUAGGUGAGAAUCCUACAGGCCGAAUAUCUAAGGUUUCCUCAGGAAGGCUCGUCCGCUGAGGGUUAGUCGGGACCUAAGCCGAGGCCGAAAGGCGUAGGCGAUGGACAAUCGGUUGAUAUUCCGAUACCACUACCAUCGUUAUUAUCGAGGGUGUGACGGAGAAGGAUAGUGUGUGCUAGCGAUUGGAAAUGCUAGUCUAAGCGUUUAGGGAGUUACGGUAGGCAAAUCCGCUGUAACAAUUCUGAGGCGUGAUGGGGAAGGCCAUAUAGGCCGAAGUACAUGAUUCCAUGCUUCCAAGAAAAGCAUCUAGAGAGAGAAGUAGUGCCCGUACCGCAAACCGACACAGGUAGAUGAGGAGAGAAUCCUAAGGCCGGCGGAAGAAUUGCAGUUAAGGAACUAGGCAAAUUGACCCCGUAAGUUCGCGAGAAGGGGUGCCUGCGAGAGCAGGCCGCAGAGAAUAGGCCCAAGCAACUGUUUAGCAAAAACACAGGUCUCUGCUAAAGCGCAAGCUGAUGUAUAGGGGCUGACGCCUGCCCGGUGCUGGAAGGUUAAGGGGAACACUUAGCGCAAGCGAAGGUGUGAACUUAAGCCCCAGUAAACGGCGGCCGUAACUAUAACGGUCCUAAGGUAGCGAAAUUCCUUGUCAGGUAAGUUCUGACCCGCACGAAAGGCGUAACGAUUUGGGCGCUGUCUCAGCUGUAGACUCGGUGAAGUCUUAGUACCUGUGAAGAUGCAGGUUACCCGCGACUAGACGGAAAGACCCCAUGGAGCUUCACUGCAGGUUGAUAUUGGGAUUUGAUGCAGCAUGUACAGGAUAGGUAGGAGGCAAAGAGAUGGAUACGCCAGUAUUCAAGGAGCCGCUGUUGGGAUACUACCCCUGUUGUAUUGGAUUUCUAACCGGACGACGUAGAGCCGUUGACGGGACAGUGUCAGUCGGGCAGUUUGACUGGGGCGGUCGCCUCCCAAAGAGUAACGGAGGCGCCCAAAGAUACCCUCAGCUUGGAUGGAAACCAAGCGCAGAGUGCAAAGGCAAAAGGGUGUUUGACUGCGAGACCCACAAGUCGAGCAGGGACGAAAGUCGGGCUUAGUGAUCCGGCGGUGCUGAAUGGAAAGGCCGUCGCUCAACGGAUAAAAGCUACCCUGGGGAUAACAGGCUGAUCUCCCCCAAGAGU
rnacentral:rRNA from 1 species